AUACGUAGGGUGCGAGCGUUGUCCGGAAUUACUGGGCGUAAAGAGCUCGUAGGUGGUUUGUCGCGUCGUCUGUGAAAUUCCGGGGCUUAACUCCGGGCGUGCAGGCGAUACGGGCAUAACUUGAGUACUGUAGGGGAGACUGGAAUUCCUGGUGUAGCGGUGAAAUGCGCAGAUAUCAGGAGGAACACCGGUGGCGGAGGCGGGUCGCUGGGCAGUAACUGACUCUGAGGAGCGAAAGCAUGGGUAGCGAACAGGAUUAGAUACCCUGGUAGUCCAUGCCGUAAACGGUGGGCGCUAGGUGUAGGGGUCUUCCACGACUUCUGUGCCGUAGCUAACGCAUUAAGCGCCCCGCCUGGGGAGUACGGCCGCAAGGCUAAAACUCAAAUGAAUUGACGGGG
rnacentral:rRNA from 1 species